AGGUAUUUAAUCUAAUUAAGAUAUUUGAUUUCGACUCAACCUAUCAUGGCCCCAAUCCAUGAAUACCUC
rnacentral:tRNA from 1 species